ensembl:lincRNA
CGCCCCGCCCCCGCCGCCGCGCCUCCUCCUCCUCCUCCCUGCCGGGGUGAAACUCCAGCGCCCCACCCGCGCCUGACCUCCCCGAGCCCCGCCCCUUCCCGGUACGGGACCCCCACCUUCGCUCCCGGGAGCCACGCUGCACCCCGGAGUUCCAUUCCUGCUUCCCCAGUGCGAGUGCGGCCGAGCGCUGACUUUUGGGGGCUCCCUUCCCGGUCUCACUGGGUCCCUCAGCGGCUCCCCAGCCCGCUGUCCCGCCUCAGACGUGGCUGCACCCCGGAGCGGGGCGCCGGCCGAGACCUGAGACGUGGCGAUGCUGCUCUGCCGGCCUCGACUCCAGGUUUUCAGCUUCUGAAGCAGGCGGUGGAGGAGAGAGGGAAGGGGGCAGCCUCGCGAAAAGAGCAAAUGUGCUUGAAUUUCAGCCACAUCUCUAAGCUGCCAUCUCAGACCAGAGGAACAGGGAGCGGGGCUUUCUGGAAAGAACAUCACCUGGAAGAAAUCAGGACGUGACUGUGGGCCAUGAGUGACCUUCAAGGAAAGCCAGCUAUCUGUGGUAUUUAAGAUGUGGUAAGAUUGUAUUAAAAUUAUAGAAAAAACCUCAAUCCAGAAAUCGUGACCUCUUGACAUUUACAUCUUAACUGGAUUUUCCUGCCAGUGAGACACAUUACAAUCAUCCUCCAUGAGUGUUCUCUUUUUACCCCAUCUUCAUUCUUUUAGAUCCGUGACAUUUAAGAACUGAAGAAACGAAAAGAUCGUCUGAUCAGUCCCAUCCGUCUUUUUCCUAAUGCUAAACAUUGGUACAAAGAUGUGAAGUUUGAUGUCUCACUAAGACUGCCUAGUGCUGCUUUAUUGCUCACCUACUUCAAAGUAUUGGGAAAACAUGAUUAUGGGUACAGGUGAGGCUGGGUUGCACCCAAACAGGUUUCUUUUGUUAGAUUCUUUUGAUGGAUCAGGAAUCUACAAGUGGGGAGACUUAAGGGAAAUAGCCCCUACACUUGCGUUUUCUUUACGUCUUUAGAGUUCUCUUACCCCAAGAAACACACAUUCCUCUUUAGUGUAGCAGCCCACUCUAUUGGCAAAGUUAAGCAGACUAGUUUUAUUUAAAAAGAGCCACCCAGAACCUUAGACAGACAGAUGAGAGUGAGCACAAAUGUGCAUAGCACGUGCAGUUUCCUGGCCCUUAAACUGAAGGGUCACAUCAGUCUGCUCCUCCAGGCACAGCCUGGGACCCCAUAAUGUGCCCCGCUUUGCAGUCUGAGCUUCCACUCAAGUCCACCAGGGCCUGCCUCACACAACCCAUGUCUGGUCAGAGGGUUGCACUUUGCCACUGCCAUAUGUUCCCAGAGGUUGGCACAGCAUGACCUGGACCUCACCUAACCCAGGCAAACUCAGCUCAUCUUUGAGCUCUGUGGAACCCAUUUCUCAAGGAAGAACCACAUUUGCACCUCACAGCCACGUUCAAGGAAGCAGCCUGGGUAAAGCAAUGACUCAAGGAUACAACAAGCAGACCACACAAUUAACAAGAUGUGCUGACUCGCAGGAGCAGCUGGGGGAGGGUAGGUGUCAUUUUCCCUGUUUAUUUUUUUCUUAAGAAGAGUUUACUGAUUCUUCUUUCAGUACGGGCCUUUUAAUAAGAUAUUGUGCUUUACUUCAGCUACGUGUGCAGAAAAUUAAAGGAUUCUAGAAGUCUGAAAAUGUUUUGCCCUGUCCUCUUGGUUAAAUUUCUGGAUAUAUUGUCUGGCAACUCAAUUUGCUUAAACAAAAUUGGUGUGUCGAAAAAGCCCAAGUCAUCUUUUAUAAGUGUGGUCUGGGGAGAAGAAAAAGAAAGUGCUAAGUUUGAAAGAUUUUUGGAAUAUCUGAAGAAAAUACAGAUAGCUUGUGGCAUGGAGAUAAAGCCUCUGGAUAGUUUCCAGGCUGUUAUUUUCUGACAUUGAGUCUUGUAUGUAUCUUGAAUGUCUAUGAGCAAAGAAUGGCUAUACUUUUUUUAAAAAAAAGAUACGUUUUAUCCUUAUUAAUCAAUGUCCUCUCUGUUCCUCUGCCUUUGAAAAUAGAGCUUUGGGGAAAAUAA